rnacentral:rRNA from 1 species
GUGGGGAAUCUUCCGCAAUGGACGAAAGUCUGACGGAGCAACGCCGCGUGAGUGAUGAAGGUCUUCGGAUUGUAAAGCUCUGUUAAUCGGGACGAAAGAGCCUAGUGUGAAUAAUGCUAGGAAGUGACGGUACCGGAAUAGAAAGCCACGGCUAACUACGUGCCAGCAGCCGCGGUAAUACGUAGGUGGCAAGCGUUGUCCGGAAUUAUUGGGCGUAAAGCGCGCGCAGGCGGAACUGCCAGUCUGUCUUAAAAGUUCGGGGCUUAACCCCGUGAUGGGAUGGAAACUACAGAUCUAGAGUAUCGGAGAGGAAAGUGGAAUUCCUAGUGUAGCGGUGAAAUGCGUAGAUAUUAGGAAGAACACCAGUGGCGAAGGCGACUUUCUGGACGAAAACUGACGCUGAGGCGCGAAAGCCAGGGGAGCGAACGGGAUUAGAAACCCCGGUAGUCC